AGGAUGAACGCUAGCUACAGGCUUAACACAUGCAAGUACGAGGGGCAGCAUUGGAGUAGCAAUACUCAGAUGCGACCGGCGCACGGGUGAGUAACACGUAUCCAACCUGCCGCUUACUCGGGGAUAGCCUUUCGAAAGAAAGAUUAAUACCCGAUGGUAUAAAGAGUUCGCAUGUUCUCUUUAUUAAAGAAUUUCGGUAAGCGAUGGGGAUGCGUUCCAUUAGAUAGUUGGCGGGGUAACGGCCCACCAAGUCUACGAUGGAUAGGGGUUCUGAGAGGAAGGUCCCCCACAUUGGAACUGAGACACGGUCCAAACUCCUACGGGAGGCAGCAGUGAGGAAUAUUGGUCAAUGGACGAGAGUCUGAACCAGACCCAAGUAGCGUGAAGGAUGACUGCCCUAUGGGUUGUAAACUUCUUUUAUAAGGGAAUAAAGUGAGGGACGUGUCCCUUUUUGUAUGUACCUUAUGAAUAAGGAUCGGCUAACUCCGUGCCAGCCGCCGC
rnacentral:rRNA from 1 species